rnacentral:rRNA from 1 species
AUGUUAGGUCCUAUGCAACCCCGCCUAGAGAACUAUAAACCUUCUGGUGAACCAGGGCAUCAACGCCGCUUCCAAUAUAGUUGGUUUGAUGAUUUUCCGUCAUGGCUAGAGUAUUCAGAGGAGAAAAGUUGUGUGUAUUGUCUAUAUUGCUUUGUCUCCAAUAACAAAGAGAAUACACUAGGUGGUUCUCAUGUCUUCACGGUACAUGGAUUUGACAGUUGGAAGAGGGUUUGUGGGAAACAUUGUGCAUUCUUGACCCACAUAGGAUCUGGACCAUGCUCACCACACAACAAUGCAGUCACUAUUGGUCAUACCUUAAUGAAACAACCAUGCCACAUAGAGAACGUUAUGGCUGUGAGGGACAAGGAGAAGGUGGAAAGAAACCGUUUGCGGCUGAAAGUCUCAAUUGCGGUUGUUAAGUGGCUUGCAUUCCAAGCUUGUGCUUUUAGAGGGCAUGAUGAGAGACCACAGUCAAAGAAUCAAGGAAACUUUCUUGAAAUGGUGAAGCUUCUUGCAGAAUUUAAUCCUGAGAUUGCCAAAGUUGUGUUGGGAAAUGCUCCAUACGGCGCAAAAUACACAUCACAUGAUAUCCAGAAUGAGAUCUUGAGUAUAUUUGCAUCUAAAAUCAGCAAGCAUAUUCGUGAGGAAGUUGGAGAUUAUAAGUAUUCUAUUUUAGUGGAUGAAACAUGUGAUGCAUCAAAGAGAGAGCAAAUGGCGUUGGUUCUUAGGUUUGCUGAUAAAGGUGGUAUUUUGCAAGAGAGAUUCUUUGAUUUGAUACAUGUAGCAAACACGAGGUCUUUGACACCGAAAAAUGAGUUGAGCUUUGUUUUGUCAAACAACGGUUUUGAUAUUCAGAACCUUCGAGAACAAGGUUAUGACGGCGCUAGUAACAUGAGAGGCGAGUUAAAUGGAUUGCAAGCUCUUUUCCUCCAAGAAUGCCCAUAUGCUUAUUAUGUCCAUUGUUAUGCCCAUCGCUUGCAACUUGCUCUAGUUGAUGCAUCUAAAGAAGUGGUUCCUAUCUCCCAGUUCUUUCAGAAAUUGAUAUUUAUCAUAAACACGGUUGACUCAUCUUCAAAGCGCCAUGACGAGCUUCAUCUUGCCCAACUAGUUGAACUAGAAAAUGGAAUCUCUAAUGCUAGCAUCGAGACAGGUCAAGGGGCAAAUCAAAUCCGUUCACUUAAGCGACCAGGAGACACAAGGUGGGGUUCUCAUUUUGGUUCAGUUUAUAGCCUUAUGAAGAUGUUUGGUCCAGUUUGUUCAGUUAUCCAAGAUAUAGCCGCCGAUGGAUCAAUUGGCUCAAUUCGUGCAGAUGCAGACACUUCUUUUGGCUACUUGUCCUCAUUUGAGUUCAUUUUUAUCUUAUGUUUAAUGAAGGAAAUCUUUGAAAUAACAGAAUUGCUUGGCCAAGCUUUACAAAAGAAAUCACAAGAUAUUGUGAAUGUUGUCUGCCUAGUUUCCUCAACAAAACAAUGUCUUCAGGAGUUGAGAUCAGAUGAUGGCUACCAAGUAUUUAUUACUAUGGUUGUUGAAUUUUGUCUAAACCAUUCCAUUGACAUUCCAGACUUUGAGGAAACAUACAUCAUGCGUGGUGGUCGUGCUCGUCGUCAACCUGAUCAGUUCACCAAGGAGCAUUACUUUCGAGUGGAAAUUUUCUUUUCAACACUUGACACUCAACUAUUUGAAUUAAAUCGAAGAUUCAAUUAUAAGGUAAUGGAUCUUCUAACCAUUAGCGCCACCUUGAUUCCUACAAACAAAUUCAGAGGAUUCAAAGCUAGUGAUAUAUGUGAGAUGGUAAAAAAGUACUACCCAGCAGAUUUUCCCCAAGAUAUUUAUGGAUUACAACAGCAACUUAAGCACUUUGUUUCAGAUGCUUCCAAGGAUGAUGAUUUGAAAAACAUAUCUACCUUAAUUGAUCUAUGUCGAUGCCUUGUGGAGAUAGGAAGACACACAGUCUACAAUUUGAUUGACAGAUUACUUCGGUUGCUCAUUACCCUUCCAGCUUCUACAGCCAGUGCUGAACGCGCAUUUUCUAGUAUGAAGAUCAUUAAGACAAGAUUGCGCAAUAAGAUGGAAGAUGAGAAUCUGGCUAAUAACUUGUUAGUACACAUAGAGGGUGGAAUUUUGGAGAACUACAGCCAUGAAGAUGCCAUUGCAGAUUUUAUAAGCAAGAAGGAUCGGAGAGUUGAUUUCUAG